GAUGAACGCUGGCGGCGUGCCUAAUACAUGCAAGUCGAGCGAACGGACGAGAAGCUUGCUUUUCUGAUGUUAGCGGCGGACGGGUGAGUAACACGUGGAUAACCUACCUAUAAGACGGGGAGAAUUUCGGGGAACCGGAGCUAAUACCGGAUAAUAUUUUGAACCGCAUGGUUCAAAAGUGAAAGACGGUCUUGGUGUCACUUAUAGAUGGAUCCGCGCUGCAUUAGCUAGUUGGUAAGGUAACGGCUUACCAAGGCAACGAUGCAUAGCCGACCUGAGAGGAUGAUCGGCCACACUGGAACUGAGACACGGUCCAGACUCCUACGGGAGGCAGCAGUAGGGAAUCUUCCACAAUGGGCGAAAGCCUGACCGAGCAACGCCGCGUGAGUGAUGAAGGUCUUCGGAUCGUAAAACUCUGUUAUUAGGGAAGAACAUAUGUGGAAGUAACUGUGCACAUCUUGACGGUACCUAAUCAGAAAGCCACGGCUAACUACGUG
rnacentral:rRNA from 1 species